GACGAACGCUGGCGGCGUGCUUAACACAUGCAAGUCGAGCGGUAAGGCUCCUUCGGGAGUACACGAGCGGCGAACGGGUGAGUAACACGAGAGCAAUCUGCCCUUCACUCUGGGAUAACCCCCGGAAACAGGAGCUAAUACCGGAUACGACCACUUCAGGCAUCUGAUGGUGGUGGAAAGUUCCGGCGGUGAAGGAUGAGCUCGCGGCCUAUCAGCUUGUUGGUGAGGUAAUGGCUCACCAAGGCUUCGACGGGUAGCCGGCCUGAGAGGGUGACCGGCCACACUGGGACUGAGACACGGCCCAGACUCCUACGGGAGGCAGCAGUGGGGAAUAUUGGACAAUGGGCGAAAGCCUGAUCCAGCAACGCCGCGUGAGGGAUGACGGCCUUCGGGUUGUAAACCUCUUUCAGCAGGGACGAAGCGAAAGUGACGGUACCUGCAGAAGAAGGACCGGCCAACUACGUGCCAGCAGCCGCCGUAACAC
rnacentral:rRNA from 1 species